GAAAACGUGUUUUUUAUGAGAUAAGCUGUACACCACCUGCUGUAAAACAAGAAGACGGUAUAUCCAAUCACAUGCGCAUAUUGCUGUGACGUGCUCUUGGAAGAAGGUCGCUGUGAUUUCAAAUUCUCCGUGGGAAAAGCUGGGUUUGACGGCGUUCAAGAGCAGUUCUCUACAUUUGGCGCAACAGCUCAAAUGGAAACUAGAGCACAAGAUCAGAAUGAAGCUCCCACACAUGGCCUUAUGACUGUUGCCCCAGUGAAGAACCCGAGGUCCAGCCUUCCCCACUCAAGACAUGCCUGAGACAAGAGUGACUGUAUUCCAAGUUGAACAAUGCACGGGAGGCCUGUGAAUUUGGGCAGUGUGAUUUGGAACUGUAUAGUACAUAAUAAGACUCUAUUGAGCUCUUAUAACCUUAUUAAAUAGCUAACAUGGAAAGCAUUUUUGAAAAUUAAGUAACAUGAAAAAAUUAAUGUGACAUGUCUUUAAUGGCGAUUGCAAGCCCUUAAAAAGUCUUAAAUUGUCUUAAAUUUAUUUUUGUUCAUAAAAUUGUCUAAUACAUCAUGACAGUUGAAUAUAUCAUGGUGUAUUUAUCUGUGGUUACAAUGCGUUUGUAUUUGAAUGUUAAAAGCCUGCAAUGUGUCCUUUUCUUGGACCAAAAUAAACAUUUGGACAAAUGCCCAAACCAAUGUUGUUAUUUUAGAUAAUUGUAAAAAUGUCAAGUAGCUAAGAGUACAACUUGCCUGUGCUUACUUGUGUGGCAAACUGUCUUAAAUGUUAUUCCAAGAAGCAUUUAAAGUUACAAUCUCGAAGAUUUCAGUUUCGUUCUCUAUGGCGGUGC